rnacentral:rRNA from 1 species
UACGUAGGGUGCAAGCGUUAAUCGGAAUUACUGGGCGUAAAGCGUGCGCAGGCGGUUGUGCAAGACCGAUGUGAAAUCCCCGGGCUCAACCUGGGAAUGGCGAUGGAUACUGGCUCGCUAGAGUGUGAUAGAGGAUGGUGGAAUUCCCGGUGUAGCGGUGAAAUGCGUAGAGAUCGGGAGGAACAUCAGUGGCGAAGGCGGCCAUCUGGAUCAACACUGACG